rnacentral:tRNA from 1 species
GGGGUUGUGGCUCAGUGGUAGAGUACUUGCCUAGCGUGUGUGAGGCACUGUGUUCAAUCCUCAACACCA